CUUCUCCCAACUCCUCAUCUCACGCGGCCUUCUCCAUCCAACUCCUCUCCAGCAAACUCCUCUUCGGCCUCCAGAUCCGGGGCGUCGGCGGACUCCUACAUCGGGAGCCUCGUAAGCUUGACCUCCAAGAGCGAGAUCAGAUACAAGGGCAUCCUCUACAGCAUCAACACCGAGGAAUCCAGCAUAGGCUUGCGCAACGUGAUUCCAGCAAUUUGGAGGAUGGACAAAGACGAUUCAGUUUUGCCUCGAUUGAUUUAUCUCUUCGGCGUGCUCGAUAUUCCCCACAAGCUAUUUAAAACUUUGACGCUUUGAUUUUUCUACUGGAAUCGAAGGGUGAAAGACUAUUUUGUUUCUACAAUUUUGCCCUAAAUCAACUUCCGCCAUUAAAUGCGUAAAAGUUGCAGCUUUUCUUAUUUUCUUCUAAAUCUCGACAUCUGAUCCUACUAAUGUUGCAACAAAUCAUGGUUCAUGCUACUUUGCCUUUUGUGAGUUUCUCAUCCUUUGCCAUUGAUUUGAAGCAACAACUUUGCCGAAUUCAAGUAUGGCUAUUCGGUUCAUCCUUUUUGGUGUAUUUAUUAGGAGACGAUCCAGAUGAAGUUAAAGCAAGACUCAAGUAUUGGGCACAAACAGUAGCAUGUACUCUACGGUUAUGCAGCUGAAGUUGUGCCUAUCCUUUAAAGUUCAUCUACAUCCGGAAGAAGCAAGAUCCAUGCAAUCCGCUGUAAGAGCUAUCCUCUAGUGUUUACAAUCAAUGCUGAAGAUGGCAACUAAAGUCCCUUCACAAUAAACAGAGACGAAUAAAAGUAAUGGUUCAUUAUAACCUUUGAGGAAGAAUAACUCUACAAGUUCAUGUACUAUACAUGCCGAAUAAAUGAUUCUUCUUCUUAUAAAUAUUGUCCAUGUACCUCAGUGGUGAUCCAUUGGUAAUUUGUGUUCAUGUCGAUGAAUCUGUAGACUAGUUUUGGUUCAUGGUCUUGUUUUAUCAUGACUAUCAUAGUUCAGUUAGCAGGUGCCUGAACUCUGAAGCUUGGGAACUCCCAAUUCUAUACUGGUCGGGAUCUAGAAGGAAAGCCAUCGGGUUAAUUUCUUUCCCAGAUCUUCCUCAGGAAAACUUGAUACUCCUCAGCGACUAAGGAAACAGUAUCAUUGCAGAUUCAAGCUUCUGGUUGGCAUGAUCUAAUUGAGACUGAAAGGAGAUUUGCAUAUGUACUCAAUGCUGAACCAAUCCAGCCAUUAGAGUAGGGUCACUUGUUCUAUGAGGAUUCAAAUCUAAACUCAGAUGAAUAAUCAGCUUACGAACAUCUUCAGAUUGCUUCCAUGGAAAUAAAAGGUAUUUUUUCGUUUAAGCUAUGAGACUAUAGAAUGAAAGGAACAUCUGUGACCAGCAAUACUGAUGGUUACCUUCCGAAGAUGCAUGAACAAUAAAAUUGGCAGAUGGAGGAGAAUUACGACUUCUUGACAGUUUACAAGAUGAAAACAAGAUUACUAUUUUGUGUCGAUACUGGAAUAUUCUUCCUAACUUGUUUUUAAUUAUGACCUGCUGCUAUUUGUGACCUGCAACUUUUACAUUUUAGGGAAAACCAGUUGCAUUGACAUUGGAAUCUAGCACAAAUAUUGUUGCACAUGGUACAAUUGUUUGUGGCAAUGAAUCUGAUAAAAUGCUUCAUCGUGUUUCAUUUCCCAAUAAUUGCAUGCGAGUCUCCAUUGAUGAAGCAGUAGAAAAAUCAGCACCUUUGCCAUAUCCAAUUCCAAGUG